rnacentral:lncRNA from 1 species
CCACACAUUAUUUCCAAUUUGUGCUUGUCUGACUCUCAGCUCUUUACUGCUGCUUCAUAUUAUGUCUUUCUGUUACAUUAAACAGUCCAUUAGUACCCAGCAAAAGUAGCUGCAUGGAAGUGUUUAUAUACCAUAAUCAAGUUACCUUUUGAUCUCUAUUUUGAUAAACAACAGAGAAUGAGUCACUAAAGAUCUUUAAUUACUUUUUAGUGUUUUCUCAGCAUAAUUUUCUGGUUUAUAAUUCCCUUUUCCACAGAUUUCAAUUUAAACAAAUGAUCAGGAAAGUAGGUCAAGUAUUCAUGGGCUGGCCUGUCUGCGAAGAUAACCAUUAACCUCUCUAAUCAACUUAGCCAGAAGUUCAAGGCACUUUAAAGUGAAGAUUAUUGGGCCAGGACAGCAUGAAGGACAGUAUGAAGCAUGUUCUGCAGCCUUCUUACCCAAGGAAGAGAAGAAUGGUGAUAAUCUGGAGCUGUGCUCAUGCUUCCUACCUCCUGACUGGGCCCCAACCUGAGGUGGAGCUAACUGACCAGGACACAUGAAACUGCUGGACACGACAUGAGAAAUUGCUGGCUGUGAGAGGUGACAUUGUAAGCAGCUGCUGAAUGU